AUUGAACGCUGGCGGCAUGCCUUACACAUGCAAGUCGAACGGCAGCACGGGAGCAAUCCUGGUGGCGAGUGGCGAACGGGUGAGUAAAGUAUCGGAACGUGCCCAGUCGUGGGGGAUAACGUAGCGAAAGUUACGCUAAUACCGCAUACGAUCUAUGGAUGAAAGCGGGGGAUCGCAAGACCUCGCGCGAUUGGAGUGGCCGAUAUCAGAUUAGGUAGUUGGUGGGGUAAAGGCUCACCAAGCCGACGAUCUGGACCGGGUCUGAGAGGACGACCAGCCACACUGGGACUGAGACACGGCCCAGACUCCUACGGGAGGCAGCAGUGGGGAAUUUUGAACAAUGGGCGAAAGCCUGAUCCAGCCAUGCCGCGUGCAGGAUGAAGGCCUUCGGGUUGUAAACUGCUUUUGUACGGAACGGAAAGGUUUGGCCUAAUAAGCUGAGCUCAUGACGGUACCGUAAGAAUAAGCACCGGCUAACUACGUGCCAGCAGCCGCGGUAACAC
rnacentral:rRNA from 1 species